AUUGAACGCUGGCGGUAUGCUUAACACAUGCAAGUCGAACGGUAGCAGGCCUUCGGGCGCUGACGAGUGGCGGACGGGUGAGUAACGCGUAGGAAUCUGCCUCAUAGUGGGGGACAACGUGGGGAAACUCACGCUAAUACCGCAUACGCCCUACGGGGGAAAGCGGGGGAUCUUCGGACCUCGCGCUAUGAGAUGAGCCUGCGUUAGAUUAGCUAGUUGGUAGGGUAAAGGCCUACCAAGGCGACGAUCUAUAGCUGGUCUGAGAGGACGAUCAGCCACACUGGGACUGAGACACGGCCCAGACUCCUACGGGAGGCAGCAGUGGGGAAUAUUGGACAAUGGGCGCAAGCCUGAUCCAGCAAUACCGCGUGUGUGAAGAAGGCCUUAGGGUUGUAAAGCACUUUCAAUUGGGAGGAAAACCUGUCGGUCAAUACCCGGCAGCUUGACAUUACCUUUAGAAGAAGCACCGGCUAACUCCGUGCCAGCAGCCGCGGUAAU
rnacentral:rRNA from 1 species